rnacentral:rRNA from 1 species
AGGAGCUUGCUUCUCUGGAUGAGUUGCGAACGGGUGAGUAACGCGUAGGUAACCUGCCUGGUAGCGGGGGAUAACUAUUGGAAACGAUAGCUAAUACCGCAUAAGAGUAGAUGUUGCAUGACAUUUACUUAAAAGGUGCAAUUGCAUCACUACCAGAUGGACCUGCGUUGUAUUAGCUAGUUGGUGGGGUAACGGCUCACCAAGGCGACGAUACAUAGCCGACCUGAGAGGGUGAUCGGCCACACUGGGACUGAGACACGGCCCAGACUCCUACGGGAGGCAGCAGUAGGGAAUCUUCGGCAAUGGACGGAAGUCUGACCGAGCAACGCCGCGUGAGUGAAGAAGGUUUUCGGAUCGUAAAGCUCUGUUGUAAGAGAAGAACGAGUGUGAGAGUGGAAAGUUCACACUGUGACGGUAUCUUACCAGAAAGGGACGGCUAACUACGUGCCAGCAGCCGCGGUAAUACGUAGGUCCCGAGCGUUGUCCGGAUUUAUUGGGCGUAAAGCGAGCGCAGGCGGUUAGAUAAGUCUGAAGUUAAAGGCUGUGGCUUAACCAUAGUACGCUUUGGAAACUGUUUAACUUGAGUGCAAGAGGGGAGAGUGGAAUUCCAUGUGUAGCGGUGAAAUGCGUAGAUAUAUGGGGGAACACCGGUGGCG